AUGCAUGUCUAAGUACAAACUUUUACAUAGUGAAACCGCGAAUGGCUCAUUAAAUCAGUUAUGGUUCCUUAGAUCGUACAAUCCUACUUGGAUAACUGUGGCAAUUCUAGAGCUAAUACAUGCAAAUCAGCUCCGACCUUCGGGGAAGAGCGCUUUUAUUAGAUCAAGACCAAUACGGAUUUCGGUCCGUUCCUUUGGUGACUCUGGAUAACUUUGUGCUGAUCGCAUGGCCUCGCGCCGGCGACGUAUCUUUCAAAUGUCUGCCCUAUCAACUGUCGAUGGUACGUGCUAUGCCUACCAUGGUUUUUACGGGUAACGGAGAAUCAGGGUUCGAUUCCGGAGAGGGAGCAUGAGAAACGGCUACCACA
rnacentral:rRNA from 1 species